GAAGUCAACAUGAAAUCAAAAUAGAUCAUUCUCAAAUGCCAUUUACGUUUCUUGGCGACUUCAAAGUGGAACUGCAAAGAAAGUAGUGCAGGUUUGGAACAACAUGAUGGUGCGUUAUUGAGUUAAUCAUGACAGAAUUUCGUUUUUGGAUCUCCCUGGGUGGAGGCAUAAAAAUCCCUAAAAGGACAUUUGACCGAUUGUCAAGGACCAAAAUGUCCGUGUUUACACAGGAGCUAGCAGUUGUUAUUUUUGGACGUGAGGCUUUGGCCACGUCCAGUCUAACAGGAAAGAAAACAAACAAAACACCACUGGACUCCAUCAAAGUCAAUUCACUCGUUGAUGCAGUGAUUGAUCGAUUUCAAGGGACCACUCCAUCCCAAGUCAGGGCUGUGCUUCGCCAAAAGUGUAACAAUGAAAGUUAUGCUAAAAAAAAUCAUGAAAGUGGAGUGGUUAAGGGUGAUGAUAGGAAUUAAGUUACCUUUAUGCAAUAGACUUGUCUGAGGGUUAGUUAAAAGGGAUAGUUCACCCAAAGAUUUCUGUCAUCAUUUACUCACCCUCAAACAUUCCUCCAAAUGCCUUACAUUGUGUUGAGUAGAACAAGGAAAGAAAAGAAAUGUAUACAGGUUUGAGGGUGAGUAAAUGAUGACAGAAUUUUCAUUUGGGUGAACUAUCCCUUGAAUUUAUAGUUUAUGCGUUCUUCAUUUGUUAUUUGUAGUGUUGGUAGUUCUGGAAUGUUAAAAUGUACUCACUGUUAACUUUUUUAUUUUAUAUUUCUAAGAAACUGCAAGUUUAAUAUAAAAGUUGUAAUUUAAAAAUAUUUAAUGUUUACUUUUAUUUUUCUUUCUAAAGAAUGGGUAACUGCAAGUUUAAAAUACAAUUUGUAAUUUAACUUAAGCCUUUGUUUAUCUGCUUUUUUUCUUUAUCGAUUUGAAUUUUUUUGU